rnacentral:rRNA from 1 species
AUUGAACGCUGGCGGCAUGCCUUACACAUGCAAGUCGAACGGCAGCACGGGAGCAAUCCUGGUGGCGAGUGGCGAACGGGUGAGUAAUAUAUCGGAACGUGCCCAGUCGUGGGGGAUAACGUAGCGAAAGCUACGCUAAUACCGCAUACGAUCUAUGGAUGAAAGCGGGGGAUCGCAAGACCUCGCGCGAUUGGAGCGGCCGAUAUCAGAUUAGCUAGUUGGUGGGGUAAAAGCUCACCAAGGCGACGAUCUGUAGCUGGUCUGAGAGGACGACCAGCCACACUGGAACUGAGACACGGUCCAGACUCCUACGGGAGGCAGCAGUGGGGAAUUUUGGACAAUGGGCGAAAGCCUGAUCCAGCAAUGCCGCGUGCAGGACGAAGGCCUUCGGGUUGUAAACUGCUUUUGUACGGAACGAAAAAGUCUGCCCUAAUACGGUGGGCUCAUGACGGUACCGUAAGAAUAAGCACCGGCUAACUACGUG